AACGAACGCUGGCGGCAGGCUUAACACAUGCAAGUCGAGCGCCCCGCAAGGGGAGCGGCAGACGGGUGAGUAACGCGUGGGAAUCUACCCAUCUCUACGGAAUAACGCAUGGAAACGUGUGCUAAUACCGUAUACGUCCUUCGGGAGAAAGAUUUAUCGGAGAUGGAUGAGCCCGCGUUGGAUUAGCUAGUUGGUGGGGUAAAGGCCUACCAAGGCGACGAUCCAUAGCUGGUCUGAGAGAAUGAUCAGCCACACUGGGGCUGAGACACGGCCCAGACUCCUACGGGAGGCAGCAGUGGGGAAUAUUGGACAAUGGGCGCAAGCCUGAUCCAGCCAUGCCGCGUGAGUGAUGAAGGCCCUAGGGUUGUAAAGCUCUUUCACCGGUGAAGAUAAUGACGGUAACCGGAGAAGAAGCCCCGGCUAACUUCGUGCCAGCAGCCGCCGUAAGAC
rnacentral:rRNA from 1 species